rnacentral:rRNA from 1 species
CAGUCGCCACGGUAAUACGUAGGGCGCAAGCGUUAUCCGGAAUUGUUGGGCGUAAAGAGCUCGUAGGCGGUUUGUCGCGUCUGCUGUGAAAGCCCGGGGCUCAACCCCGGGUCUGCAGUGGGUACGGGCAGACUAGAGUGCAGUAGGGGAGACUGGAAUUCCUGGUGUAGCGGUGAAAUGCGCAGAUAUCAGGAGGAACACCGAUGGCGAAGGCAGGUCUCUGGGCUGUAACUGACGCUGAGGAGCGAAAGCAUGGGGAGCGAACAGGAUUAGAUACCCCUGUAGUCCCUGUCUCUUAUAA